GCAAGUCGAGCGAGAAAGCCUUCGGGUGAGUAGAGCGGCGGACGGGUGAGUAACGCGUGGGAAUCUACCGAGUAGAGGGAGACAACAGUUGGAAACGACUGCUAAUACCGCAUCCGCCCUACGGGGGAAAGAGGGGGACCUUAUGGCCUCUUGCUAUUCGAUGAGCCCGCGUAAGAUUAGCUAGUUGGUGGGGUAAUGGCCUACCAAGGCGACGAUCUUUAGCUGGUCUGAGAGGAUGAUC
rnacentral:rRNA from 1 species